rnacentral:rRNA from 1 species
UCCUACGGGAGGCAGCAGUGGGGAAUAUUGGACAAUGGGCGCAAGCCUGAUCCAGCCAUACCGCGUGGGUGAAGAAGGCCUUCGGGUUGUAAAGCCCUUUUGUUGGGAAAGAAAUCCAGCUGGCUAAUACCGGUUGGGAUGACGGUACCCAAAGAAUAAGCACCGGCUAACUUCGUGCCAGCAGCCGCGGUUAUCACCC